AAUCAUUAGCCUCUUAAUUAGAGGCUAGAAUGAAUGGUUUAACAUUUCCUUAACUUUUUUAAAAAUUAAUAUAAAACUUAUAUUAAAUAUAAAAAUAUAUUUAUUUACAAAUUAGACGACAAGACCCUUUCAAACUUUACUAUAGUUUAGCUGGGGUAGCUUAAUAAUAAUAAUCUUAUUAGUAUUUAUAAAAUAGACCCAAUUUAAAAAUUGAUUAAAUGAACAAGUUACUGAAGGGAUAACAGCAUAAUAAAUUUAUAUAGCUCUUAUUAAAAAAUUAGUUUAUGACCUCGAUGUUGAAUUAUUUUACUUCUACACGCAAGAGUAUAGAAAGUAGGUCUGUUCGACCUUUAAAUUUU
rnacentral:rRNA from 1 species